UGUGUGGUCUCUUCAGCAUAGCAACAGCAGCGUAGCUGAACAUCUUACGGAUGGCCCAGGGCUCCAAAGGCUCGUUUCCUAAGUGAGAGAGAGCCUGGCUGAAGCUGUAUUACCAUUCAUUCUCCAGCCUCCGAAGUCUCAAAGCAUCACUUCCACCAUACUCUAACUGUCAAGACAAACACAAAGGCCCAGAAACUGCCAGACUGUCUUCCGAAGUGGCUAUAAUAUUUACACUCACAUCAGCAGUGUAGAAGGGGUCUCACUAUGUUGUCUGGAGUGCAGUGGCUGGAGUGGAGUGGCUAUUCACAGCUGAGUUUGCAGAGUAAACCACUACCCUGAAAUCUGGAAAGGCAGGUGCACCCAUAGAUCCUCAGCUGAGAUCCAAUUACCUGAAAUAGAAGCUGCCAUUAGGAACACUUAAAAGAGCCUGUUCUGCUGGGACACAGAAUCACUUGCUCCAUCUCAUACAUUGAUGAUGAUUAAUUUGUAUGUGUACCUUCCAAAAAAAGAUGGUUGUGUUUGAACGGAGGCCUUCUGGACAGGAAAAUAUGGAGAGUGCGUGCUUUGGAUUCAAGACUGGGAAUGAGGGGACCAGAAACCUAUUCUGUGGCUGU
rnacentral:lncRNA from 1 species